GGAUGUGCUACCUUUAACAUGUUUCUUAGUCUGAUUUAAUCAUGAAAAACUGAAGUGGACGCCAUUGAUGUUUACCUGGACGGACAGUUUCUGGUGGUCUGUGAAAAAAUGGAAACCUUCAUUCAGACAUCAGGGAAAGAAUCCACUACCUGGACGUCAACCCUGAUAAGAGCCCUAAAGAGUUGUAUGUGAUGCUCAAUGAGCUCUUUGGGAAAUGGAUCCAGCCAAAAGGUAAAAGCAUCCAAGAAGUAAGUGAAAUAAUCAUCCUACAACAAUAUUUGAGAAUGUUGUCCCCUGAGCUUCAGGUAUCGAUCAAAGAGCAUGACACAGAUUCAGCAACGGGGGCUACCAAGCUGGCCGAUGUCUUUGAGCCUGCACAGAAAAAUGGUCAACCAUGGAGCUACAAUGCAUGGAGGAUGGCAAAGGACAGCCACAAACCAGCCCAGCAGUUCCAACAGGGGGAAGCAUCCAGUGAGGGUAAGCCUCCCAUGUGGGAGGGGCCAGCCAGCUAGCAGGCCAACAAAACCCUCUAGCAUAAAGCUAAUUUGUUAUUUACGUGGACUUGACAGCCAUACUAAACCAUCUCGGCUAAGAUGACACAAAUGUGCUUAAAAAUAACUUUUUUAUUAAAAAUGCAAAACAUUGAAGUUAAUGGAACCAUUUUUAGGGCCUUGCUUGAUGCUGGGAGUGAUUAUACACUGGUACACAUGAAAUUUGUACCACCCAACAUUGUCAGCAACAGUGACACCAUCCUUAUCUGUUGUGUUCAUGGAGACGAGAAGCCUUAUCCAACAGCUGACAUCUACAUUAGUGUAAAAGGUCAAACUUACCUUUGACAUUGGGGUUGCUGAUAAUCUGCCUUUGAUGCUGUUCUAGAAAGAGACCUAUCAGUUCAAAGCAGAAAGUGUAAUGCUGUGGUAAACCGAAUGCAGGCCAUGCAAUCCAAUGAGCUCCUUUGCAAUGAGGACUUCCCACACCUGGGAAGUCUUUGGUCUCUCUUUUCCAGAAAGCAAAGGAGAAGGAGCCAGAAGCUAAAUUGGACAUCAUAAGUGAUGAGUAUGUCCUGCAAAAUGGCAUCCUCUAUCAUCAACAAGCGUUGCAGUUAGUGGUUCCCCAAGCAGCUAGAAACACCAUACUUUCCUUGGGGCACUCGGUUCCCUGGGCUGGCCACCUGGGCCCACAAAACCACAGCUCACAUUAAAAACCAUUUCCACUGGCCUGCGCAGACAUGUUGCUCAGGUUUGUGAAAGUUGCCCUCAGUGCCAGAUAACAUCUGCUAAAACACCCCCCAGAGCUCCACUUCAACACUACCUAUUAUUGGCACCCCAUUUGAGCGCCUUGGGAUGGACAUUUUUGGUCCCAUAGAGAGAAGCAAAGCAGGGAACUGUUAAAUGCUGGUUAUAACAGACUUUGCUACCAAAUAUCCAGAAGUCUUUCCACUAAAAUCCAUCCAUGCUUUCUGUUUGGUACAGUUCUUUUCAAGGGCGGUCUUCCCUUGUGAAAUAUUAACUGAUCAGGGAACUAACUUGAUGUCUACUCUGCUGAAACAGGUGUACCAGUUACUGGGUAUCAGGAGCCUCAGGACUACACCAUAUGUUCCUCAAACGGAUGAUGCUAACAGAGCACUUUAACCAGACUGCUGAAACAGAUGCUCUGGAAGUUGGUGAACAACACUGGGAUCAAUGGCUGCCAUACCUCCUUUUUUGCAUGGAGAGAAGUACCUCAAUGGUCCACUGGUUUCUCUCCUUUUGAACUUUUGUAUAGACAUGAAGUUUGGGGGUCGUUGGCACUGUUGAGAGAGA